GUAUUCUUAAAGUAGAUUAAGUUCAAGAAUAGACUCCCAAAUGAAUGAUGGCUCAGACUAACUGCAAAGGAUCCUAGGAGCUGUGGUUUCCCUAUGGGUCCAGGAAGAAAAGAAGAUGGUGGAUUUUUGUGAGCAGGCAGCUAUUUCUGGCAUGGAUAUUGUUAUUCUCUGGACCUGAAGGAGAAACAUAGAUCCCUCCCCAUUUACCACACCACCACAGGUAGGGCAACAGAUCUCAGAAGAGGGGUGGGGCCAUUUAUAGUAUUAAUAUCCUGGGGGAAGAUGCUGGUUAGUAUUCGAAAGUGAGAAGUGAAAUAAAAUGGUUAAAGGCAGAGGAUGAUCCAUGGCCAUCUGUCUUUUACUUUUUUUUCCUUUAAGAAUUGACUAAAAACAAAAGUUGAGGUGCUUUAAAAAUAGUUCCUCACAUGAAAGUGAGGAACCCAAGCAACGUAUCUAUAAAAUUAUGCCAGCAAGUACUAGAAGCUUCUCUCUUCUUGUAUGUGGACAAAUCGUGCCAUUUGUGAGAGUGAGUGGACAUUCUCAUAUAUUUUUAAUGCCACAGGAUGCAGAUAUGUGCCUUAGAUUUUUCCAAACAAUUCAUGAAAUUGUGAUGUGGAAGCAAGCUACCAAAGGGAUCACUGGGGCAUCUGGGUUGCUGGUUGGGAGUGGCCAAGAUGGGGGCAUUUGUGAGACUGACAGUAAUAGAGGACAGCUCCAGAUCACAGAAAAGAAUUAGUAGUUCCAGAGCUGAUGGCAGCACCUACUUCUUUACCUGGCCAGUCCUGUGGACUAGUUCUGGGCACUUUCCCUGGUAGCUAAGUCCAAAUGCUUUCCCCCAGGGCCUUCCAGUAUUUCGGUGAGUUUCUAAUAUUCCUUAAAUUUCUUUUUCAACUAACUAGAAUGAAUGACAUUGUCUUCAAUUAAGAGCUUUGACCAAUAUAAAGAACCAGGUAGCUGUAGUAAAAUCAGAACUCAUUUCUUUGCAUGUAGAACUAUUUCCCUUUCUCAAACUCUUUACUCACAUUUUCUUUCCCCACUCACAUUUGUUAACAGUGCUGUGCUAAAGCGUGCAGAUGAAAAUUUCUGUCUACAUUGUGUGGAAUAUUAAAGCUAGAGCAGAAUGCACUUGGAAGCAGUAUGGUUUUUUGGGAAUUAUUCAAGUAGGAGAACCUGAAGCAGGUGGUGAAUUUCAGGAGAAUGUGCUAGUUUAGUUCCACUGGUGCAGCUGCCCCUCCACACUGGAGAGUUCUCCUUUGGAGUUAAAGCCUGAAGCUUCUGGACUGGAAUUUAACCAAGGAGGAAAAUUCCUGCAGAGAUAAGACUAUGAAAAGAAAUCACCUUCUCUUUAUAAAUGAAUAUCUCAAAUUUUAUUGUUUGUUCUAGAGUUAAUGAUUAUUUGAGGCUAAUGUUUCAAGAAGUUAUGUAUUUUCAUUAAAAUUUUUAUAACCCAAAUCAUGUUCCUAGUAUAAUAUAGGCUUAACAGGGACAGAGAUCAAGAGCACGCCAUCAGGACAGGACAAGAGAAGAGAGAUGGUCUUGGUUUGUGAGAGGAAACUUAGCACAGGGCAAAUAGCAUUUGAGUUGUUACUUGCCAGCUAUGUGUGACUGUAAGCAAGUUCUCCAACUUCUCUGAGCUCCACUUCCUCCUCUGCAACCUGGGGAUAAUAAUGGCAGGGCCUUCUUCACUGGACUGUCAUCAGGCCUAAUUAAAAGCAUUUAAUGGCUCUUUGUUGUAGGCAUUGAAACCAAUUCUGACUUACAUGAUCAGAAAAAGGUUUUUUGGGGGGGUGACUGAGAUGCUUACAGAAUUGAGGAAGGUGAAAGAACCAGGAUAGGAAAAUGAGCAGGUGCUAAGGGAAGCCAAGGGAAAGAAGAGAGAACAAGGCCAACAGGAGGAAUAGUUACUUGGGUGACCCCAAUGGCUCCUCUACCGCUGGUCUUAGUUACUGCUGUGGCCUGGUCCUGUCAUAAUGCCAUGGAACUCUUACUUAGCUGCCCUGCCUCAGCAUCCUUCCCCUCUGCAUGAAGUCCUGAAGCUGAAUUGAACCUGCUUACGAGAGACAACUAUUAAAUGUGCAUGAGUUUUGCAAGCUGAGAAGUUUUUAGUUUGAAAUCAUCUACAGUAGGAGUUACUUUCAUCAUGAAAAUUGGCAAACCUACAAAUCAGGACUGGUUUUUGUUUUCCCAGAAAGCCAGUUUAUCAGCACACUACUGCCUCGGGUACCAAACCUUGGGUAUGAGCACCUACUUGCUGUGUCUAAGAUAUGUGACUGUGUUUAAGCUUCAAGGGGAUUGGGAAGUGAGAGCUUGGCCUUUUAAGACUUUUAGGCCAUCGAGAAAGAGAACCUCUCUCUUACCAACACUGAAACAGUUGGAGGAUUCUCCCCCAAAUGAUGAAGGUUUUAAUGCUGACUAGUCUUCCCAAAUUUCAUAUAUUCUCUGCAGUAUGUCAAGAGCUUACAUAAAUUGUGACUGUUCUUGUAACAAGUACCCAGUACUUUUUGUGUAUCUUUUUCUUUAUUUUCCUUCUUUUCCCCAGUUUUUACCACAUUUAUAACCUUUCCUUUUCUGUUUGAUGUGUGAUCUUAAAUCCUAGCCACAACAAAAAUAAAGCCUCAAUCAAACCUUGCCCCAAGUUAUAUCUAGUAAAGGUGUAAGUUCAGUUUGGAGAUUUUCAGUUUUGAAUUUCUAACUGUAACAUUAUGUUCCCUGUUAAGGAAAUGAGCUUCUCUUUUAGACAGAAUUAUUAUUGUCUUGAAAUAUUCAUGUUUGUUUUUGAAAUAAUAAUAAAAUAACAUACAAACCAAGAUAAUUUCUGAGACACUGAGAAAUCUUUCUAUUUGUUAUCUGAAAUUCUAUCAGAAUAAUUUUUAUUUAAAAACCCAAAGGUAAAGUAGUGAAUCUUCUAAGUGAGAGGAGAUUAUAGGCAGCUAGUAUUAUUUUUAUCCCUAAUUAAUAAGUGUAAGGUAUCUGGCUAACCAAAUGAAGGUUAGGCACAGAAAGAAUAAAAGUAAAAUCUUUUUCAUGGAAACUGCUUCUUUGUAUCAGUUGCAAAUGCUAAGUGAAGUAAGCCAAUCCCCAAAGGCUGAAUGUUCUCUCUGAUAAGUGGAUGCUGAUCAUCCAUAGGAAAAAUGGAGGAACUUUGACUGG
rnacentral:lncRNA from 1 species